GAUGAAGAACGUAGCGAAAUGCGAUAAGUAGUGUGAAUUGCAGAAUUCAGUGAAUCAUCGAAUCUUUGAACGCACAUUGCGCCCUCUGGUAUUCCUUAGGGCAUGCCUGUUCGAGCGUCAUUUAAACCUUCAAGCUAAGCUUGGUGUUGGGUGACUGUCCGCUUCACGGCGGACUCGCCUCAAAAUUAUUGGCGGCCGGUACAUUGGCUUCGAGCGCAGCAGAAACGCGAACUCGGGCCCGUCGUAUUGGCUCCCAGAAGCUAUCUUCACAAUUUUGACCUCGGAUCAGGUAGGGAUACCCGCUGAACUUAAGCAUAUCAAUAAGCGGAGGA
rnacentral:misc_RNA from 1 species